rnacentral:rRNA from 1 species
UAAAAAUUAUUUAUUUUAGGUAGUACUAGCUUUCUUAAAACCUAAAGAAUUUGGCGGUAUUUUAAAUAAUUAGAGGAACCUGUUAAUUAAUUGAUAAUCCACAACAUAUCUCACCUAAAUUAAAUUUGUAUACCAUUGUUUUUAGAUUAUAUUUAAAAAUUAUAAUCAAAUAUAAUUAAUUUUCACAGAUCAAAUCAAGGUGCAGUAUAUUUAGGGUUUAAUGGGUUACAAUAUAAUUUAUAUAUUAUGAAAUAGUUUUUGAAAACCCCUAAGAAAGUGGAUUUAAAAGUAAUUUUGGAGUAAGCUGCCAAAAUGAAUAAGAAUUUAAAAUAUGC